rnacentral:rRNA from 1 species
CCUACGGGUGGCAGCAGUGGGGAAUAUUGGACAAUGGGGGGAACCCUGAUCCAGCCAUGCCGCGUGUGUGAAGAAGGCCCUCGGGUUGUAAAGCACUUUCAGUGAGGAAGAACGCCUGGUGGUUAAUACCCAUCAGGAAAGACAACACUCACAGAAGAAGCACCGGCUAACUCCGUGCCAGCAGCCGCGGUAAUACGGAGGGUGCGAGCGUUAAUCGGAAUUACUGGGCGUAAAGCGCGCGUAGGUGGCUUGAUAAGCCGGUUGUGAAAGCCCCGGGCUCAACCUGGGAACGGCAUCCGGAACUGUCAAGCUAGAGUGCAGGAGAGGAAGGUAGAAUUCCCGGUGUAGCGGUGAAAUGCGUAGAGAUCGGGAGGAAUACCAGUGGCGAAGGCGGCCUUCUGGACUGACACUGACACUGAGGUGCGAAAGCGUGGGUAGCAAACAGGAUUAGAUACCCCGGUAGUC